AGCGAACGCUGGCGGCAGGCCUAACACAUGCAAGUCGAACGAACCCUUCGGGGUUAGUGGCGGACGGGUGAGUAACACGUGGGAACGUGCCUUUAGGUUCGGAAUAACUCAGGGAAACUUGUGCUAAUACCGAAUGUGCCCUUCGGGGGAAAGAUUUAUCGCCUUUAGAGCGGCCCGCGUCUGAUUAGCUUGUUGGUGGGGUAAUGGCCCACCAAGGCGACGAUCAGUAGCUGGUCUGAGAGGAUGACCAGCCACAUUGGGACUGAGACACGGCCCAAACUCCUACGGGAGGCAGCAGUGGGGAAUCUUGCGCAAUGGGCGAAAGCCUGACGCAGCCAUGCCGCGUGGAUGAUGAAGGUCUUAGGAUUGUAAAAUCCUUUCACCGGUGAAGAUAAUGACUGUAGCCGGAGAAGAAGCCCCGGCUAACUUCGUGCCAGCCGCCGCAGUAAAAC
rnacentral:rRNA from 1 species